rnacentral:rRNA from 1 species
UUGGGACUGAGACACGGCCCAAACUCCUACGGGAGGCAGCAGUGGGGAAUAUUGCACAAUGGGGGAAACCCUGAUGCAGCAACGCCGCGUGAGUGAAGAAGUAUUUCGGUAUGUAAAGCUCUAUCAGCAGGAAAGAAAAUGACGGUACCUGACUAAGAAGCCCCGGCUAACUACGUGCCAGCAGCCGCGGUAAUACGUAGGGGGCAAGCGUUAUCCGGAUUUACUGGGUGUAAAGGGAGUGUAGACGGUUUUGCAAGUCUGAAGUGAAAGCCCGGGGCUUAACCCCGGGACUGCUUUGGAAACUGUAGGACUAGAGUGCAGGAGAGGUAAGUGGAAUUCCUAGUGUAGCGGUGAAAUGCGUAGAUAUUAGGAGGAACACCAGUGGCGAAGGCGGCUUACUGGACUGUAACUGACGUUGAGGCUCGAAAGCGUGGGGAGCAAACAGGAUU